AAGAGGGGAGACGCACAUUGUUGUGCAAUAAAGACAAGACAAACAAGAAGUUGUAUGAGCCGACAUUCCUGGGAUAUUACAAUAAGCACAAUUGACCAAACAAGUUGACACAUAUUUUCUUAUUUUUAUAUUAUCAUUCAAAUAGUUAAAAUAAAAUAAAAAAAUUCUAAUGUUUCCUACUAUCAGUGUUCAAGAUGUUUUUUUGUUUUUUUUUAUAUAGUGACUCCAGCCCGCAUGGACGUAACAUCACCAUCUUCUCUCAGUACACGAUCUUUGGUCCUGCACAGCCCGCUACAACUCCAACAAGGUUGAAGGUGUGCAGCCAGUCUUCAAAGUUGCCGUAUUCUGUUUCCAGCUCCUUGUUGUACACCUGAGCAAGUCAACAAAACACACAUGAUGCUGAGAUAAAGGUGCACAGCCGGACCAGUUCCAUACCUGCAGCCUCUAUUGCAAUCUCCAGGUCUUCUCUCUCCUCUGCUUCAGCCUGAGCUUCUUCCUGAGCCCUGAGUGUCUAAAAAGACAUUUUAUUCAUCCUCCU